rnacentral:rRNA from 1 species
GAUGAACGCUGGCGGCGUGCUUAACACAUGCAAGUCGAACGGUGAAGGCGGAGCUUGCUCUGCUGGAUCAGUGGCGAACGGGUGAGUAACACGUGAGCAAUCUGCCCCUGACUCUGGGAUAAGCGCUGGAAACGGCGUCUAAUACUGGAUACGAGCUGCGAAGGCAUCUUCAGCAGCUGGAAAGAACUUCGGUCAGGGAUGAGCUCGCGGCCUAUCAGCUUGUUGGUGAGGUAACGGCUCACCAAGGCGUCGACGGGUAGCCGGCCUGAGAGGGUGACCGGCCACACGGGGACGGGGACACGGCCCAGACCCCUACGGGGGGCAGGGGUGGGGAAUAUGGCAAAAGGGGCGAAAGCCUGAUGCAGCAACGCCGGGGGGGGGACGACGGCCUUGGGGUUGUAAACCGCUUUUAGCAGGGAAGAAGCGAAAGUGACGGUACCUGAAAAAAAAGCCCCGGCUAACUACGU